GUCGAGCGGUAGAGAGAAGCUUGCUUCUCUUGAGAGCGGCGGACGGGUGAGUAAUGCCUAGGAAUCUGCCUGGUAGUGGGGGAUAACGUUCGGAAACGGACGCUAAUACCGCAUACGUCCUACGGGAGAAAGCAGGGGACCUUCGGGCCUUGCGCUAUCAGAUGAGCCUAGGUCGGAUUAGCUAGUUGGUGAGGUAAUGGCUCACCAAGGCGACGAUCCGUAACUGGUCUGAGAGGAUGAUCAGUCACACUGGAACUGAGACACGGUCCAGACUCCUACGGGAGGCAGCAGUGGGGAAUAUUGGACAAUGGGCGAAAGCCUGAUCCAGCCAUGCCGCGUGUGUGAAGAAGGUCUUCGGAUUGUAAAGCACUUUAAGUUGGGAGGAAGGGUUGUAGAUUAAUACUCUGCAAUUUUGACGUUACCGACAGAAUAAGCACCGGCUAACUCUGUGCCAGCAGCCGCGGUAAUACAGAGGGUGCAAGCGUUAAUCGGAAUUACUGGGCGUAAAGCGCGCGUAGGUGGUUUGUUAAGUUGGAUGUGAAAUCCCCGGGCUCAACCUGGGAACUGCAUUCAAAACUGACUGACUAGAGUAUGGUAGAGGGUGGUGGAAUUUCCUGUGUAGCGGUGAAAUGCGUAGAUAUAGGAAGGAACACCAGUGGCGAAGGCGACCACCUGGACUAAUACUGACACUGAGGUGCGAAAGCGUGGGGAGCAAACAGGAUUAGAUACCCUGGUAGUCCACGCCGUAAACGAUGUCAACUAGCCGUUGGAAGCCUUGAGCUUUUAGUGGCGCAGCUAACGCAUUAAGUUGACCGCCUGGGGAGUACGGCCGCAAGGUUAAAACUCAAAUGAAUUGACGGGGGCCCGCACAAGCGGUGGAGCAUGUGGUUUAAUNCGAAGCA
rnacentral:rRNA from 1 species